rnacentral:lncRNA from 1 species
UGGCAUAUGGAAUUUCUGGGCCAGGGAUCAUAUCCAAGCUGGAAUUUCAACCUACCCCUGUGGCUGUGGCAACACCUAAUCCCUUACCCACUGUGCCAGGCUGCAGAUUGAACCUGCAUCCUGGAGCUGCAGAGAGAUGCCACUGACCCCACUGAACUACAGUGGGAACUCCUGUUGUACUUUUUAGCAGCUGAGCCAUAGAGAUUGGGGGGCGGAGGUUACUGGGAAGAAGUCUGGAUGGCUUGUCACUGGCUGGCAGUGGAUGGGUGACAGUUACUCAAGGCAGAUGGCUGCUAUCAACACAUACAGAAGUUUCCUGAUAUUUUAACAACCCACUUGGCUGACAAGGGCUGCCUGCAAAGCUUGAGCCAAGGAAAGAGUUUUCCCAUGGAAUACAUUUUAAAGGGAUAGUGGGAAAACUAUUCCACUCUUUACAUUUUAAAUCACUAGUAAAAUUGCUUGUGAUUGUACCCCAUGAAUCUUGACUGUUUGAUGUACUAGUUAUUUAUAUUACCUAAGUAAGUUGCUUAGAGACGCUCGUAUAUACGCUAUAUAAUAUUCAGUCUUUCUAAGGAUAAGGCUGUAGAAACUGGGAGGUGAAACUGGCCCCCAAAGGAAGCCAUGAACAUUUGUUCUGAUAUAAGAGACAAGCAGAAUAUUUCAGUCUCUUUACCACCCUAAAAAAGGUGAUGGAUUAGUCCCUGUGUGGAAUCACAAAACUGUCAUUUUAUCCUAACUGUGCACGUUCAAGGAUUAGCCACGCCACUCAGUUGUCACUGCUGUUAACAUUAGGUUCUUGUUUUUAUUUUGUCUUUUUUGCUUUUUUAGGGCUCCACCCCCCAAGAAAUAGCAAAAAGACAAAAAAAAAAAAGGGGGCACAAAUGAACCUAUCUACAAAACAGAAACAGACUCCCAGACAUGGAGAACAGAUUUGUGGUUGCCAAAGUAUCGGUAGGAGAGGGAUGGAUUGGACGUUUGGGAUUAUCAGACACAAACUAUUAUAUACAGAACAGGUAAACAAAGUCCUACUGUGUAGCAGAGGGAACUAUAUUCAGUGUGUUGUAAUAACCCAUAAUGGAAAAUAAUGUUAAAAACUACAUAUUAUAAACUGAAUCACACUAGAAAUAAAUUAAAACACACACACACACACACACACACAAACAAGAGUUCCCUCAUGGCUCAGUAGGUUAGGCACUGGUUACAGCUGUGGCGAGGGUUCAACCCAGGAAUCUCUGCAUACCUCAGGUGCAGCCAAACAAAAACAAAAACAAAAAACCAUGAACAAUUAAUUGUUCUUGCUUAUUAAAGGUCAAAUAAGUGUUUUCAAUACAGUUAUAAAAAGACCAUUUGUUUAUUUUAAGGUUAUGUACAGAUAUGAUACAAUUGUUUAUAAGAGAAAGCUAAGCUUUUUUUUUUCUCAGGAGAAUUUAAUUAUCCCUGUAUUUGAAAGUAAAUUAAUUGAUCAACUGUUUCUGAUGAACAGUGAAUGGACAGAAAACUCAGCAUCUUUAGGCUUUAUCAAUGAGCACACGUGGCUACAGUAUCCCAGCCUAAACCCACACUGUUAUUGACCAUUACGGUAUCAACAAUAUUUGCAUCAGCUCUUCAUCAAGAAGCUGGUCUCUUCCAUCUAACAUGGACAAUAGCAGGUUGUCUUAGAGAUGCCAGGAGCCACCUGACGACUAUGAAGGAGAGGCAGAGAUUGUGCAUUCAUAGGACAAAGAAAUGCAUGGAGCAUAGAAAAGCAGACUUGGAAAUGCUCUAGUCCCUAAUCACCCCACUGAGUCACAACCAACCUUGACAGACACAUCAAGAGGAGUGAGAUACUAAAUUAAAAAAUCUGUUGUGCUGCUUGGUUUCUCUGUUAUCUGCAACUGAAAGCAUCCUAACCCAUGUAUUAUUAUCUUAGUUUAAUAUGAGACUAUAUUAUUUAUUGCUCAGUGACCUGUUAUCUGUCUCCUUCACUGGAACAUAUUUUCCUUGAGAGUGAAGAUAGUUUCUAUCUCAUUCACUGCACGAUUCCCAAAAUGUACCCUGUCUGCGGCACAGAGACACCAAAUAAAGGUUGACUGGACGUAAGAUAGAUUUUGUUGGAUCCAAUGAAUAUGUUCUCAGCCUCAGGAAUUUGCCACAUUUACAGUAAGUUGCCUGAUAGUAUGAUCUGCUAGUUUUAAUCUGAGAUCCUUGAAAAGAGCCUUUUUUUUUUCAUAGAUUUGGCAUAAGCUGAGUGAUGGAAAAACCCUUCUCAGACUUAGCACUUAAGAAAGAGCUGGUUUGCCUGUGCUGAUCCCAUCUCCUCCUGCCCACACCCCUUGCAUUCUGCAGGUUUUGGCUUCAACCUGCACAUCAUUUUUAUAAAAAAAAAAGUUGCUUCUUACAUGCCUAUGGUAUGUACUGUAAAGUUCACUCACAAGGUUCUUUCCCUGGGCCGCCAUAUACGUCAAAUUUGGAUCAGACUAAGGUGCUACUGGCAAAUUCUAUCAUAAGAUCUAUAGAACAUGGUAGUCCGCAUGUCAUCCUAAAAAUGUCUAGGACUAGAGUCUUGGGCUGCGUAUCACACUCUGCAGUGGAACAGUGGUGCCUCCAGUGAUGGUGUCAGUGGGUAAAACUUCAAGCUCUCAGAAAUGAGCAGUGCCACUGGAGAGCUGUAUCGUCAAUUAUCACAUCCACGUGCCCAACGUGUUGGUGCAAGGGAGCGACCAGCAGAUCCCCAGGUGUGCACCACUAAUACCACUAAAACUAAGAGUGGGGUGCUUCAAAGGGCCUGUACUAGUAAAGCUUUAAGACAAAUAUGAGUUUCUGGAAAGAUAAGUGAUUUUUACACUUAAAAAUAUGAUGAUCUAAAGUAGCCUUUUAUGCAAGUUCUCUGUUUCUGAAUGAAAAAAAAAAAGAGUUCAAUCACUUAUCAAUAUUAGUAAAGUUGGUCUAGACUGUCUCCUUUUUUCAGAUUAGCACGUCAAUAUAUGCUAUUAUUGAAACUGUAGAAAUAGUAAUUUUAUAUUUAAUUAAAAAUUACACAGAGUGAUCUCCCAAUGUCCUCUAAGUUUCUCUUUUUAAAUAUGGUCCUCUAUCAGGACUUCUACAACUACCUGUGCCUACUCCCUCCCUAUCAAAGCUGUUCUAAAAAAUCUAUAGAGACUGGAGCUCAACUUCUCUCCUAAAAACAACAAAAUUCACAACUAAAAGCUGAGCAAUCUCCACCCAAAUGGGCCGGAAACCUUAAAAAAGAUACCCUACUCCAGAAGAAAAAGAGGAGGCCACAUCAAGAGGUAGGAGGGGUGAUUUCAUGAUAUAAACAACCCCAUACCUCCUGGGUGGGAAGCUCCACAGACUGAAAACUAACUGGUUCAGAGAGACUCACCUACGGGAGUGAGAGUUAUGAGCCUCACAUCAAACCUUCACGUGCGGAGAUCUGGCACUGGGAGAAAAAGCCCCUGGAGUAUCUGGCAUUGAAAGCCAGUGGGGCUUGUGCGCAGGAGCUCCAUGGGACUGGGGGAAAUGGAGACCCCAUUCUUCAAAGGUGCACACGGAAUUUCACGUGCACUGGGUCCCAGGGUAGAGAGAGGUCUCCAUAGGAAUCUGGGUCAAACCUGACUGCAGUUCUUGGAGGACAUCCUGGGAAAACAGGGCUGAAUGUGGCUUGUUGUGAGGGAGGGACAUUGAAGGCAAAGCUCUCAGGAAUAUUCAGCAGCUGCCUUUCUCUGGAGGUGGCCAUUUUGGGAAGAUCUGGCCCCACCCAUCAGUCAGUGCUGAGAAGCCCCAGGACAAACAACAAUCCAGGUGGGGUCACAGCCCUACCCUUCAGUAAAUAAGUUGCCUAAAGACCCAUCAGGUACAUAUCAGCCUCUAUUCCCACCCAGAGACAAAGCCCCACACACCAGAGGGAUUAGAAUCAGCUUUACCUACCAGUGGGCAGGCAUCAGCCCCUCCCAUCACGAAGCCUUCAGCAAACCCCCAUACCGACUUCAGCCACAAGGGGGGCAGACACCAGAAGUAAGGGAGGCUACAACUCUAUUAUCUGUAAAAAGGUCACCACACCAAAAAC